rnacentral:lncRNA from 1 species
CUCUUUCAAUCAUAGAGUUUGUUAAACAAGUAGAGUCUCUAUACAUAACCAAUAUCAGCAGGCGGAAGGGGGUUCUUUCCUUUUCAUUUCAAUAAUAAUAAUAGCAUGUAUGUACGUACUCUUGACACACUCACUCCAUUUCUGCCACAAUCCGCCAUUAUCAUCCAUACACAUGACGCACACUCUCAAAAACAAAUCAACGUGCAAAAAUAGCAUGUCAGGGAAACCUCUUCUGCAUGACACUAAUAUUUAUCAUCCUUCUAUAAUCACCAGCCUCCCCCCCCCUCACGGUUUGAUGUGAUAAAUUAUUUAUGUUUAAAGAAAUAUUUAUAAUUAUUUUUUUGUAGAAAUGGUUCCUGUCCCUCCCUUAACCUUAAAGACAUCCCCAUCAAUAUAUUAUAAUAAGCAGGGAAUUCUUCAUGUCAGGACUUUAUUCCCUCUUCCGCUUAAAGACAUGUUGAUAUUAUUUAUUUAUUAAAAGGACGUGCUAUGCGUGCGUUCGUUAUGAGGAAUUCAAACAUGUGAACUGCUUAGGUUGACACGUGAAUAAGUGUCUUAGAGGAAUAGGCAUCAUCUCUAAAUGGGGAUGAAGGAGCUAGGACUUGCGAAUACGUUUCUGCCUUAUCAUGUUUCUUUUUUAUAUUUUGUUAAUUAUAUGGACACUGUGGGUCUGUUCUAUAUAAUAUUUUAUGAAUGGCUCACAAGGGAUCUACUCUCGAAUGUACAUACCCAGUAUUGAUGAAUAUUUGAACAUGUCUUUGUGUUGGAUGGAAAAAAUCAUGCUUUUCACAGACAUAAUUCAUUUUCACUCAAUCCCAUAAAUGAAAUCAUGAAUCUCACUCAAGCAGAGAAUACAUAUUUAGUAAUUAAGCGUAAUAAAAAUGAAUAAACAGAGUUACACCAGAAAACAUUUUUUUUAAAUAAAUAGUUAAUGGAAGACUAGGCGUGUAGUAGUAUUCGUGUUAAUAGUCGUAGCUACUACGGAAUUACAAGAAGAAAAAAAUCAUAUUUUAUUAUUAAAAGUUAACUACAUCACUACAUUGUACUAUUCCCUUAAUUAUUGAAUUUUAUACGGUUCAAGUCGUGUGUGCUUUAGUAACUACAUUUAUUACAGAACAUACGGAGAAUCAUUCUUCAACAAUCAAGAAAAUAUGCGAAAUUACUACGUCUUGCAAGUCAACAAACUCAAAAAACAGAGGGGGAAAUUAAGACGUCAUACUCCAAAAUGAAGCACACCACAUAUUAUUCGGAGACUAGAAAAAUAUAGUUUAGUUCAAUGAUAUAAAAUUUGAUUGCAAAAUAUUACGAAUUUUGAAAAGCCUCUAAAGUUAUCUCCGAUAAAGAUAAUCAUUUGGAGUUGACGAGAUUUUGCUAAUAUUGACAUUUAUUUAAUUUUUUAUAAAUAGGAAAGGAUGGUUAUAUUUUGAUUUAAUAAAAAGAGUAAAUUUUGGAAUAGACAUAAUCUCUA